GAAUUGUUGUACUCAUCAGAGCACGGAGGCCUUCAUGCUCCUCAGUCAUUUUCGAUGAUAGAAUUUCUAAAUCGAGGAUAUGCUCCAUUAGACUUGAUAUAGUGUAUUUGAAGUUUUUAAAAAUUAAUUUUUGUAAUUUUUCUAUAUCAUUUACCUAAUGAUCAAAAGGGUUCAAAAUUAAUAAUUUUUAAUGGUUGAUGUCUGCCGUUUUCAAGUUUAACGGUAUAGAAGUAUUCAAAUCACAUGAAAUUUUGAUACAAAAUUCUU
rnacentral:lncRNA from 1 species